CAGUUCCCAACACCAUUUUGAGAGGAGAUGAUAAUCACUAGACAUUUGCAAGCAGACCAUAUACUAACAAGGUUUAUAAGGCAUUGAAAUGUUCUCUCCAACUCCACUAAUUUAAAAAUAGAAAAGAAGACAAAUACUCUAGUCAGAAAAUUUUGGUAUUAAAGGAAAUAAAAUAGACACUAAAUCAUAAAGGGUAUGAAAAUAAUAAGGAAAGAAAUGGGGGAAACGAAAGAUACGAAAGAAAAAGUGAGGAGAAAGGGAAAAAAAGGAGAAAGUAAAAAAUUAUAAAAAGAAAUCAAAAAUAAAUCCAUUUUGUUAAAAUGGCCAUAUUAGUAAAAGGGAUCCACAGAUUCAAUGCAAUCCCCAACAAAAUUCCAAUGACAUUCUUCAUAAAACUAGGAGGAAAAUCCUAAAAUUCAUAUAGAAGAACAAAAGGCCCAGAAUAGCUAAAGCAGUUCUGAGCAAAAGAAGUAAUGCUGGAGAUACCACAGUACCCCAUUUCAGAUUAUAUUACUUUCAGAGCCAUAGUAACAAAAGCAGAAUGGUACUGGCAUCAAAAUAGAUACGUAGACCAAUGGAACAGAAGACACAGACAAUUCCACACACCUAACAGUCACCGAUUCUUGACAAAGAUGCUACAAAUGUUUAUUAAAGACAACCUUUUCAAAUAAAUUGUGGCAGGAAAACUGGAUAUCUGUAUGUAGAAAAAUGAAACUAGACCACUGUAAAUGCACAAAAGUCAUCUCAAAUGGAUUCAAGACCUAGGUGUAAGAACAAAAAUUUUACAAGCCAAAGUGGCAGGUUUCAUUGGUGUAGGCGAUGAUUUUUUUAGAUAGGAUCCCAAAGGUACAGAACAAAAGUAAACCUCACUACAGUUGGAAUGACUGUUAUCAAAAAGACAAGAUGCCGCAGGAUGCAGAGAAUGAGGAAAUCUUAUACACUAUUGGGAAAUGUAAACUCAUACGGCCAUUUUGAAAAACAGCACAGAGAUUCCUUUAAAAACUAAAAACUUCUAAAUGAUCCUGCAAUCCCAAUAUUGAUAUGAAAUCAUAUCAAAGAGAUAUCUGCACUCCCAUGUUUAUUAUAGCACUAUUUACCACAGCUAAGAUAUAAAAUCAACCUAGAUGCCCAUCAGUGGACGAAUGGAUAAAGUAAGUGUGGUAUAUGUACACACAAUGGAAGAUUAUUCCACCAUAAAAAAGAACGAAGUUGCCAUUUGCAGAAACAUGGGAAGAACUGGAGAGCGUUAUGGGAGGUGAAAUAAGCCACAGAAAGAGAAAUACCCAUGUUCUUACUCUUAUGAAAACUAAAAAGCUGAUCUCUUAGAAGAAUGGAGUGCAGUGUGCUUGCUUGAGACUGGGAAGUGUAGCCAGGAGGAAGAGAUGGGGAAAAGCCCAAUGAAGAGCACAAACACAUGGAAAAGAGGGAUUAGUUCUGGUUUUCUGUAUAGCACAGAAGGUUAAUUUGGCUAUAGCAAAUUAUGAUUUAUUUCAAAAUGAUAAGAAAACAGCACUAAAUGUCCCCAUCACAUAAAAAGGAUCAACAUUUGAAAAGACUGAAGUCCUUAUUACCCUGAUUUGGUUUAUUAUACAUUAUAUGCAUAUUGAAGUACCAUAAUCCAUAAAAAAUGUACAAAUAUCAUGUCUCAAAAAAUUAGAAAUUUUGUACUAAUUUUAAAACUUGUAUAAAACCAUUUUUGUCAAAACUGUGGGAGUGACAUACAGACACAGAAAGCCCAGAAACAAACCCUCUCAUAUAUAUAGUUAAAUGAUUGUCAACAAUGAUGUCAAAGCCAUUAAAUGAGGGAAGGACCGUUUCAUCAUCAGUUGGUGUUGGCAGAACUGGAUAUCUAUAUGCCAAGAAAUGAACUUACUUCCUUUACACUAUAUACAAGAAUUAAUUAAACUGGAUCACAGACCUAGACAUAAAAGCUAGAACUGUAAAAGAUUUUGAAGAAAAUACAGGGGAAGUCUUUAUGAUAUUGAAUUAGGCAGUGAUCUGUGGCAAAAACAGAAAAACUGGACUUCUUUAAGAACUUUUAUGUAUUAAAGAACACAACACAGUGAAAAGGCUAUACAUGGAAUGGGUGUAAUAUCUGUAAUAACAUCUGAUAAGGAGUUAAUAUCCACAAUAUGUAAAGAAUCUCUAUGAUCUCAACAAUAAAAUGAUUCAUGGGCAAAAGACUUUGCGGAGCAUUUUUCUAAAGACAUACAGUCAAAAAGCACAUGAAAAGAUAACAUUCAUAAUCAUUAGGGAAAUGGAGAUAAAUCACAAUGAAAUAUUCAGACACCCAUAGAAGUUGAUGGAAAUAAUGAGAACUGCAGUGUCUGAAGUGUACAGAAUAGUAUGGUUCCAAAACAACACAUUCAGUGAGAGUUUUCCCAUCUAUGUAAGGAAAAUGAAGUGUUCUUGGUAUCUCCAUUACCUCCCCACAGCUCUGCUUUAUAUUCUGCAACCAUUGCCCCUUUGAGAAAUGAAUUCAUUAUUUCUAAACUCCCUGGGGAAAAGCAGAAAAGACUCCUUCCAAGCAGGAAUGAUUCUUCCAAUUCCCUGGACGGGUUGCCGUCUGCUAGCACUUGGUAUGUGCUCCUAGGAGGACAGUGAGUCAGGGACUCUUAAGAACAGGUGAAACACUACCUCCCCUCAAAUCAUCUUUCUUUUCAGGGUUACAUUCUGGCCUCAAAGGACCAAGUUCCUGGGAAGAAUCUUAAACCCUUCCCAGGGUGCUCAAUAUUACAGUGACUUCCUUAGUUACUAGUCCUUGGAAGUUAAAAUUUCUGCAAAACUACAGAAAAGGUAGUAAGGGGCAUAGAGAAAUGCAAAGCGUCAAAAGACUUCUGGCCAGGAGAGCAGGACACCGUCCAGAGGCAGAGAAACCUUUGGAAGUUUUAUGGCAGGGGAAUGGAGCUCAGUUUGCUUAGCCCUUCUCCCCAUCCCAGGGGGCCCCUUACCCACGCCUGCAUUGUUGAACAUGCCAGGAAGCACCAGCAUGAUGUGGUUGGGCCAGUACUUGCGGUACAGCGGCAUCUCAUAUUCUUUGACCACUAGAAGGUGAAGGUGGCUGAUGCCCUCCAUGGCGUGGAAAAGGUUUAGGAGUCCAUGCUCAUGGCGACCACUGGAAGGAGUGAAAAUAGGGCUCUUGACUGCAUUCAAAUUCUGCUGAAAAGGAAAAGUAAAACCAAAAAGUAAGACCAAAAAGGGAAAGUAAAACCCUCAGAUGUGAGCAGCUUGGAGAACCUGAUCUAGUGCCGGGUGUCUGGCAACCAUCUAGACCUCUCACCCACCUUGUCUGAAACCAGAGGCAGCCGCAUGCUCUCCAGGUGUUUGCCCUGCUUGCUGAAGACAAAAUGACUCUCUUUGGAUUUGGGGAUGAUGAAAUACAGCUGAACUUCUUCUCCCAACAUAGAGGAAGAAAAUGUGAAUGCAUGAAGGGUGGAGUCAGACAUCUACAUUUGAAAAGAAGAAAGGGAAUGUAAGCUCAGGGUUUCCAGACUUCCUGGUCCCUCCUUGGCCUUGUUAUUAAGAGGCAAACUGACAUCUACAAGUGCCACCAGAUCUUCAGGCUGAGGGUAGCAACAGUUACAAGGGUGGGAAGCUUCAACACACAGUAGCUUCCACUGACAUGAGAGCUAGGCAUCUUGCCCUGUGUGGCCUCUCCAUGGAUGAAGGACUUGUUGCUGCCACUGUCUUUUCAUUCUUCAUGCUCUUAGGGCUCAAUUGCUCAGUCUUAGGCAGAGAUCAGACCUCCCUCUGGUGUGUUCUGCUAUGUGCACAUUCCCAAAGGCCCCCAGUUACAGGGGGAAACACUAAUGCUCUGUGAGCCAGGGUUGAAUGAACUGAAUUUGAGCUUUCUAAACAAAGUAGAACUGACACCACUGAAUUGGCUUCUGUGGCACCAUCUUUCCUGGCUGCACUGGAAGCUGUAAAGACACAGUCAUUUAGUCCCAAACUCUGGCUUUAGGGAAGGACCAUUUACUCAUCCUAGCCAAGUUGCUGGGAAGUUCACGUGCUCUCAGUAGCCUAUCUCUGAAUAAUUAUAUAAUAGGUUUUUACAUGCUUUUACAAAAUGCAGACAAUAUUUGGCUUAAUGAAAGAUAACAUCAGUUAUUCCUCAGUAACCAGAAUCCAGAAUGGUUUCUCAAUAGUUUUAACCCAAAUAUUACAUUUCUUAGAAAAAACAAUAUUAUGGUUCUUCCUUUAAAUUCGAGUUUAUUCUGGGGCUGGGGAUGUGGCUCAAGCAGUAGCACGCUCGCCAGGCAUGCGUGCGGCCCGGGUUCGAUCCUCAGCACCACAUACAAACAAAGAUGUUGUGACCACCAAAAACUAAAAAAAUAAAUAUUAAAAUUCUCUCUCUUUCAAAAAAAAAAUUCUAGUUUAUUCUGCUUCACAGAUGUGGAAAUAUAUUACUUAGUACUGUAGUCAUACAGAAACUUUAUAUAUGAAAAAGCUGGGCAUAGGGUGCAUGCCUGUAAUCCCAGUAACUCUGGAGGCUGAGACAGGAGGAUCGCAAGGUUAAGACCCGCUUCAGCAAUUUAGCUAAACCCUCAGCAACUUAGUGAGGCCCUGUCUCAAAAUAAACAGGGCUGGGGGUGUAGCUCAAUGGGUUAGAUCCCCAGUACCAAAAAAUAAAUAAACCUUUAUGAAAAGGGGUUUUAAAAUUUUUCUAAAAACUUAUGGUUUAUAGAUCAGAGGACUUGCAUAUUCUGUAUUCUGUAAAGCAUUAAAGCUGAUUUCAAAGUAGCCCACCAAGCAAGCAAAUAGUGUACAAAAGGUGAUCUGUAUUCCAGUUUUUCAAUGUGUCCUUUCCAGUGUCCAUUUGUAUUUCAGGAUGUGAUGCAGGGGAGGGGUGAGGACCUGGUCCUGAGGAGCAGAAACAGGUUGGGGGAUCCACUCAGCAUGGCCUCAAAGAAGCAAGAGUUGUUUCUAGGUGCUCAGUGCCAACUCAUUAAAAUCAAGAAGAGUACAAUCAGAGAAGUGAAAAAUUGUGCUCCAUUUGUGUACAAUGAAUCAAAGAACAUUCUGCUGUCAUGUAUAACUGAUCAGAACAAAUAAA
rnacentral:lncRNA from 1 species